rnacentral:lncRNA from 1 species
AAGGAUGGCAAAAUGUCGGGUCGGGCUCGGGCUUGUCCAAGCCCUACCCGACCCAAUCAAAAGAAAUGUAAAGCCCGACCCUAAAAAAGCCCGAAUACUAUUUAGUUAGGGUUGGGCCGAGCCCGGCCCGAAUCGGGCCAACAUCGGGUCGGGCCCAACCCGACCCUACUGAAAUAAUUAACCCCACAAUUUAAUUCUCAUUUUCCACCACCAUUUUAACCAAUUCGGUAAUUACUCAACCAUUUCAAACACAAUCUAAUCCACUUUCCACAACUAUUUCAACCAAUUCCACAACUAUUUCAACUCCACACACAAAUCAAUUCUAAAAUCCAACAUGAAAAACACACAAUGUAAUAAAAUUAAAAACACACAAUAUAAUUUCACAACUAUUUUACCCAUACACAAUUCAAUUCAAGAACCCAACAUAAAAAAUAAAAAAUAAAAAACUAAUGUCUUAUAUAAAUAAAAAUACAAUGCAAUUAAAUUAAAAACACACAAUAUAAUUUCACAACCAUUUUAGUCAUACACAAUUUAAUUCAACAACACAACAUAAAAAAAAAAAACUCAUGUCUUGUACAAAGAAAAAUACAAUGCAAUUAAAUUAAAAACACACAAUAUAAUUUCACAACCAUUUUAGUCAUACACAAUUUAAUUCAACAACACAACAUAAAAAAAAAAAACUCAUGUCUUGUACAAAGAAAAAUACAAUGCAAUUAAAUUAAAAACACACAAUAUAAUUUCACAACCAUUUUAGUCAUACACAAUUUAAUUCAACAACACAACAUAAAAAAA